rnacentral:rRNA from 1 species
AUAAGAGCGUACGGUGGAUGCCUAGACUUGGAUGAGGCGAUGAAGGACGUGGCCAGCUGCGAUAAGCUUCGGGGAGGCGCUGAGCAACCUUUGAUCCGAAGAUGUCCGAAUGGGGAAACCCAGCCACUUUUCAGUGGCUGUGCUUGGGGUAACGCCCGAGUCACGCGUACCUGGGGAAGUGAAACAUCUCAGUACCCAGAGGAAGAGAAAACAAUUCUCGCCGUUAGGCGAGAACCAUUUCCAGAGUAGCGGCGAGCGAAAAGGAAAUAGCCCAAACCGUUUGGCCCCACACUGCGCGUCACGCAGGCUGCGAUCCCUGCUCCGGUCUAACGACUGGGGUAGCGGACACGCGGCCCUGACGAGGUGCGCGGUGUGGGGCCCGGCGGGGUUGUGAGGCGGUGACGCAGCUUAAAAAGCUGGAGGAGUCAAAAAUCGAUUCGUUAACCGAAACACCUGGAAAGGUGUGCCCUAGACGGUGAAAGCCCGGUAGGUGAAAACGAGUCGACUCCUUGGUUGCCGUCCUCGAGUAGCUCAGGACACGAGUAGCCUGAGCGAAUCCGGCAGUACUAACUGCCAAGGCUAAAUACUCUCCAAGAUCGAUAGUGAACCAGUACCGUGAGGGAAAGGUGAAAAGCAGCCCGGGAGGGCAGUGAAAUAGUCUGAAACCGUACGUUUACAAGGAGUAGGAGUCGGCGGCGCCUUCGGGUGCCGCUCGACGACUGCGUGCCUAUUGAAGAAUGAGCCAACGAGUUGAUCUGCACGGCUUCGGCUAAGCCCGCGAGGGCGGAGCCAAAGGGAAACCGAGCGUGAACAGCGCGACUAUGUCGUGCAGAUCAGACCCGAAGCUAGGUGAGCUUGCCAUGGACAGGGUGAAUGUCGCCGAAAGGCGACAGGAGGCCCGAACCCGUUGAUCGUUCGACUUCUUGGGAUGAUCUGUGGCAAGGAGUGAAAAGCUAAUCGAACCUAGUAAUAGCUGGUUCUCUCCGAAACAGCUUUCGGGCUGGCGUCGGAUUUAUCACACGGGGGUAGAGCACUGGAAGGUCUCGACAGGGAGAAAUCUCACGAGACCUAUCAAACUCCGAAUACCGAUGUGUAACUAUCCGGCAGUUAGACCACGGGGGCUAAGCUCCGUCGGUCAAAAGGGAAACAGCCCAGAUCUCAGAUUAAGGCCCCUAAGUCGACGCUAAGUGCAAACUAAGGUGGUGGAAUUUCGUAGACAGCGAGGAUGUUGGCUUAGAAGCAGCCACCAUUCAAAGAAAGCGUAACAGCUCACUCGCUCAGAGAUUCUGCGCCGCAAAUGAUCGGGGCUCAAGCGUCGCGCCGAAGUCGAGGGCUCUCAUUCUCCUCGGAGAGUGGGAGCGGUAGGAGAGCGUUCGCGUCGCGCUGAAGCCGGAGGGGUGACCCCCGGUGGAGCGUCGCGAAGUGAGAAUGUUGGCACAAGUAACCACAAUUCCUGUGAAAGCCAGGAACGUCGAAAGGCCAAGGUUUCCUUCGCAACGGUGAUCGGCGAAGGGUCAGUCGGUCCUAAGGGGAUGGCGAACGCCGAACCCGAUGGAUGCACGGUCAACAUUCCGUGACUCGCGCAGCAUGCGAUGGAGGGACGGAGGGUAUUAUGCAGAGCCUAUUACUGGAUUUGGGUCCGUGACGAGAGCGCGCGCCUCUGGUAAAUCCGGGGCGCGGCCUUCAGUGGCAGCUCGAUUCGUUGCGGGAAUCUGACGGGCAACUCGAGGAAACUCUGCAAAAAACGCUCCCAAGAAAAACUCCUAAGCUCUAGUGCUGCGGAACCGUACCGCAAACCGCCACAGGUGGCCAGGUCGAGAAGACUAAGACGAACGGGUGAGAUGUCCUCAAGGAACUCGGCAAAAAAGCGGCCGUACCUUCGGUAUAAGGCCUUCCAGCUCCAGAUUUGGGCUAGAAUGAGUUCGUGCAUUGCGUGUAUCUAAUCUAGAACGAUUUCUCGAAAGAGGUUUACAUUGGAUACACGAACGACAUAAAGCGGAGAGUGAGAGAUCACAACUCUGCGGGUGAGAAAUUCACAACAAGAAAUCGCGGCAUCUGGCGUCUUGUGUACAUGGAGGUGUACAGAGCCGCUAGAGAUGCUCGCGCUCGCGAGCUGCGGCUAAAGAGUCACGGCAGCGGGAAGCACGAACUGAUGAAACGACUCAAGGCUAGUACGCUUUGAGGCUCAAAUCUGGAGCUGGACGCAGCUAAAGAUUCCCUAUCGACUGUUUACCAAAAACACAGCUCCCUGCGAACUCGUAAGAGAAUGUAUAGGGGGUGACACCUGACCAAUGCCAGAAGGUCAAACGUUGGCGUUCCCGUCCUGCUCCGUCCGCCCGAUUUCAAUCGGGCGCGCGNNNNNNNNNNNNNNNNNNNNNNNNNNNNNGGUGACCGUCGUAAGCCCUGGUGAAUGUCGGUCGUAACUAUGAAUCGUCGUAGUUACGUUAAAAAAUCUCGCUGUAUGCGGGAAACCCUGGCCCAGCUCCAGUUGGGCACAUAGUUUGCUUGUCGUCGCUGCGGAACUUUCGUAAGAAGGUUUCUGUGGUGGUGAGAGAAACUGACGUGCCAACUGGGGCUGGGAAAAGAGAGCGAUCAGCUACGAGUGCACUAUGUUGCGUCGUAACAACGCUGACGCGCAGGCAAUCCGCAGGAAACUCUCUGGCGCCUAACUCAAAAAGAGCGUGGUGCAUCAACAGCAAAACCUAGUUCGUUCGGUACCCGAACGAAUUGGGCACUACAUCGCCGGCUUCGUGGACGGCGAGGGAAGCUUCAAUGUUUCUCUCGCCAAAAUCACGUGGUCGCGCGGUUGGAAAAUACUCGCGUCAUUCAAUGUGUCGCAACGCGAUCGUGUUGUCUUGGCAAAAAUCAAGGACACGCUCCGAUGCGGCACGCUGCGGACGCGAGCUGACGGCGUCGUUUACUACGAGGUAACGAACUUUCGUUCCCUUGCAGAGACGGUGGUCCCGUUCUUCCAGCGGUUUGGUUUCCUCUCC